rnacentral:snRNA from 1 species
GGCCGUGAGGGUGACCUGGCUGUGACAUCUGUCACCCCACUGAUCACCAGGGUUGAUUCAGCCGAUCUGGCUGGCCCAGGCGGGUGUCCCCUUCCUCCCUCAUCACUCCAUGUGUGUCCCUCCUGAAACCACAUGCUUGGUCGAAGAGGAUGACCAUCCCCCAUAGAGGAAGACUAGUCUCUGGUCAAGGGUAUACAAUAGCCUUGCUCCCCUGCUGAUACCUCCAAACAAGCUCUCAAAAUAGAUGCUCAAUAAAUAGUUGUGGAUUGAAAAAGAAAAGCACCUGGUAAUGCUUU